UUCCAGCGAUCAUGAAGUAAAACAAAUCCAAUCUUCCUUUGUUCAAAUCUUCAGCCAACCAGUUACCGCCAGCCGAGUUCUGCGUCGUCCUGUGUACCGUUGCAAUCAAGAAGCUGCCGAGGUAACUAGAAACUCCUCCUCCCACAUAGAAGAUGGAGCCGGCGAAACUCCUCAUGUUCUCGGGGAACUGCUUGUAGUAAAACUCCAUCUGUCCAAUAGCUCCAAAUGCCUCGGCUACACCCGCGAGUGUGAGCUGCGGUAUCAGCCACAUAGCUGACAUUGAGGAGAUUUCUCCCUUCCGUGGCGCCAUACCGAGUGUUGGUUUAGUCAAUGCGAAAGUCCUCCUCCGUUCCUCGACGAAACCAGACACUACCAAGCUCAAAAAGGCGAAGAAAAUCCCGGUUCCUAUCCUUUGCAAGAGCGUGAUCCCGGUGUCUAUACCGGUGAUUCUUCUCAAGGUAGGCACGAGGACGCGGUCGUAGAUUAUGAUGAAAACAGUCAUUCCUGUCAUCAAGAAGACCACAUAGGUGGCUGCAGGGAUCACAAACCCUCCAGAGCCUAAGCGACGAUCGCUCUGGAGGGCUUGAAAGACAGGAUAGGUCAUCUGUUGCGUGAUGGUCAAGUAAUAGAUCGAUGAAGCAAACCAUAUAGGAAGCACUCUCACAAUGCACUUCACUUCUUCAACUUGUUGCAUUGUACAUAGCUUCCAUGGAUCCGUAGGCUUACCAUCAGCAUCCAACUUGUCUUCAGGAGCCAAGAUCGCCGCCUUAUCAAGAAACCUACCAAAAACAGAAAGCUUGCUUUCUAAGUAAACAAAAGUGGAAAGAUAUUAUUUAUAACCGUGUGUCUUUACCUGAACUGGUCGGUGUACUUGAGCUUAGAGUUUGCGUAGUUUAGUGGGUAGUAAUUGUAAAGGUUAACCCAAGGCUGCUUCACAGCCUUUAACCCACGUUUCUUGAUAGCAACCGUUAUAACUUGAGCUAUACUAGCCAAUGGACUACCUGAGGCUUUGAUCUUGACAUACAACUUAUCACCCGCAAAGAAGAUCAGGUCUAAAAGCUUCCAGAAGAUGAGAAACCACAUGAUCAUUAGACUUUGUUCUUGUCUUGUUGUUUGAUCACAUCUCCAUUUGUUUCAUAAGCUGUCACUUCAUCAUCACUUCCUUUGUACCUAUACCAUCUUGACAUCACCAAGAAGUAAGCAAAAUUAACCGCCAAGAUUCCAGCGAUCAUGAAGUAAAACAAAUCCAAUCUUCCUUUGUUCAAAUCUUCAGCCAACCAGUUACCGCCAGCCGAGUUCUGCGUCGUCCUGUGUACCGUUGCAAUCAAGAAGCUGCCGAGGUAACUAGAAACUCCUCCUCCCACAUAGAAGAUGGAGCCGGCGAAACUCCUCAUGUUCUCGGGGAACUGCUUGUAGUAAAACUCCAUCUGUCCAAUAGCUCCAAAUGCCUCGGCUACACCCGCGAGUGUGAGCUGCGGUAUCAGCCACAU
rnacentral:lncRNA from 1 species